rnacentral:rRNA from 1 species
GCCUACCAUGCAAGUCGAGCGGAUGAAGGGAGCUUGCUCCCUGAUUCAGCGGCGGACGGGUGAGUAAUGCCUAGGAAUCUGCCUGGUAGUGGGGGACAACGUUUCGAAAGGAACGCUAAUACCGCAUACGUCCUACGGGAGAAAGCAGGGGACCUUCGGGCCUUGCGCUAUCAGAUGAGCCUAGGUCGGAUUAGCUAGUUGGUGAGGUAAUGGCUCACCAAGGCGACGAUCCGUAACUGGUCUGAGAGGAUGAUCAGUCACACUGGAACUGAGACACGGUCCAGACUCCUACGGGAGGCAGCAGUGGGGAAUAUUGGACAAUGGGCGAAAGCCUGAUCCAGCCAUGCCGCGUGUGUGAAGAAGGUCUUCGGAUUGUAAAGCACUUUAAGUUGGGAGGAAGGGCAGUAAGCUAAUACCUUGCUGUUUUGACGUUACCGACAGAAUAAGCACCGGCUAACUUCGUGCCAGCAGCCGCGGUAAUACGAAGGGUGCAAGCGUUAAUCGGAAUUACUGGGCGUAAAGCGCGCGUAGGUGGUUUGUUAAGUUGGAUGUGAAAGCCCCGGGCUCAACCUGGGAACUGCAUCCAAAACUGGCAAGCUAGAGUAUGGCAGAGGGUGGUGGAAUUUCCUGUGUAGCGGUGAAAUGCGUAGAUAUAGGAAGGAACACCAGUGGCGAAGGCGACCACCUGGGCUAAUACUGACACUGAGGUGCGAAAGCGUGGGGAGCAAACAGGAUUAGAUACCCUGGUAGUCCACGCCGUAAACGAUGUCGACUAGCCGUUGGGAUCCUUGAGAUCUUAGUGGCGCAGCUAACGCAUUAAGUCGACCGCCUGGGGAGUACGGCCGCAAGGUUAAAUA